UACGAGUGGCUCAAGCGUUAUCCGGAAUUAUUGGGCGUAAAGGGUGUGUAGGUGGUUAUGUUAGUCGGAUGUCCAACCUCUGGGCUCAACCUGGAGACAGCAUUCGAAACGGCAUGACUAGAGUAUGUAGGGGUGAGCGGAACUCAUAGUGUAGGGGUGAAAUCCGUUGAUAUUAUGGGGGAACACCAAAAGCGAAGGCAGCUCACUGGGCCAUUACUGACACUGAAACACGAAAGCGUGGGUAGCGAAUGGG
rnacentral:rRNA from 1 species